AUUGAACGCUGGCGGCAGGCCUAACACAUGCAAGUCGAACGAGCGGCGGACGGGUGAGUAAUGUAUGGGAAACUGCCCGAAGGAGGGGGAUAAGUACUGGAAACGGUAGCUAAUACCGCAUACCAUCGGAUGUGCCCAGAUGGGAUUAGCUAGGCGGUGGGGGAACGGCUCACCUAGGCGACGAUCCCUAGCUGGUCUGAGAGGAUGACCAGCCACACUGGAACUUAGACACGGUCCAGACUCCUACGGUAGGCAGCAGUGGGGAAUAUUGCACAAUGGGCGCAAGCCUGAUGCAGCCAUGCCGAGUGUAUGAAGAAGGCCUUCGGCUUGUAAAGUACUUUCAGCUGGGAGGCGUUACUCGCAGAAUAAGCACCGGCUAACUCCGUGCCAGCAGCCGCGGUAAUAC
rnacentral:rRNA from 1 species